rnacentral:rRNA from 1 species
AGGACGAACGCUGGCGGCGUGCCUAACACAUGCAAGUCGAACGAGGUCCAUCCGGUAGCAAUACUGGUGAAGAUCAAGUGGCGAACGGGUGAGUAGCACGUGAGCAACCUGCCCCGAAGACCGGGACAACACCGGGAAACCGGUGCUAAUACCGGAUAUCCCCACCGAGUCGCAUGGCUUGGUGAGGAAAUGGAUUCCGCUUCGGGAGGGGCUCGCGGCCUAUCAGCUUGUUGGUGAGGUAAUGGCUCACCAAGGCUUCGACGGGUAGCUGGUCUGAGAGGACGAUCAGCCACACUGGGACUGAGACACGGCCCAGACUCCUACGGGAGGCAGCAGUGGGGAAUCUUGCACAAUGGGCGAAAGCCUGAUGCAGCAACGCCGCGUGAGGGACGAAGGCUUUCUGAGUUGUAAACCUCUUUCAGCAGGGACGAUUGUGACGGUACCUGCAGAAGAAGCCCGGCACUACGCGCCAGCAGCCGCGGUAAU